UUACACAUCCCUAAUCUUUUCUCCCCUUUAGUAGUCUUGUUUAACAUCUGCUUUAACUUUCCUUUUCCUUUUUUUCCCAUACUUUUGCUACAUAAUUUACUUUUUUGAAAAUAAUUUCUUUUGUUUUGUUUAAGCUUUUAGAGUCAUUUGGUUUAAUUUAAAAAAAAAGAAAACUCAAGUGAGUAGUUAGCUUUUAUUUUUAUUUUUUAUUUUUUUGCAAAAGUAUUGUAAUAAGUGCUGGGGUGGGGAUUUGAACCUGGGACCUCUUGUCCACAGGAACAUACAGGUGCCAGUUGAGUUAAGCUCAUGUUGGCGUUAGCUUUUAUUUCAUUAUGGUAGUAAUUUAUGUCAGCUUCGAAAAAUAUUUAUAAGGUAGAUGUUUGCUAUUCCAACUAUUCAUAAAAAAAGAUGUGGAUAGUUGGAACAUCUACUUUAUUUUACAUAUUUUGCCACUCAUUGUUCUAAUUUUUUAUGAGGGUACUGCACACUGGCUUUCUUUGUAACGGGCUUGCUGCUUCAAGUAGAAUCCCACCUAUCUGUGACAAAUUGCUACUCCCUUUCUCUCGGCCACAAGUGGCUUAUCUUUGACCAGUUGACUUUCUUACCUGCUCCCUCGCCCUCGCUCACCAAUUGAAGAAUCAAAGGGUGAUCUUUGGAUGCUGAUGUUGUGAUACUCAUGCUCCGAUGAAGGCUGUUGGUCUAAGCAUUGGAUAGAUUUGGUCAAUGACUCAACGAAAAUAACGACAAACUCAUUCAUGAGGGAGUGAAUGAUCGACACACAUAAGAUUGAUUGGGUAAUUACGAGAAGAAUUAUAAAGUGAGCUCCAAUUUGAAGCUGAAAAACCAUUUGGGGAUAUAAAUUUCUGUCAGGGUGUGUCUUUUGAAUCUUCGUCUUUUUUACUAGAUUUCCUUUGAGAAGGAAUGAAAAAGAUGUAUUUGGUAUGCCACUAUUUAUCUGUUUUGCUUUGAUUUAAAUGAAAAGCCUGGCCUGUAGAACUUUGUCCACAGAACACCAACCAACUUUAUCAAAAGCUUUAUAGAUCCUCUUUUACCAUCCUGGUUCCUUCUUGCAUUUUACCUUAUCUAUCAGUAGGUUUUUUAAAAGUCAUUGGUGUCGAUAAACUACCUUCACUAAACUAAUAGUUUAAGGGCAGGGGCACUAAUCCCUUUACUAAUAAGGGCACAAUUGAAGUAAAAAUCUUAAUCAUAACUCAAUCCCAGACUCGUUCUUGAUGCUUACAAUGCUGAUUUCUAUUGAGUCAAGUACUGAAAUUGGUAAAAAUCCACGCCCUUUGUUUUUGGAAAUUGGGCCAUGACAACAGUAGAAAUUUGUACAUUUCCUACAUUAUAGCCACACUUGUUUAGCUUCUGCUUAUGGGAUAUCUAACAAAACUUAGUUACUGUUAAAACAAAAAAGUAAAAACAUAACCAAUACAAGGAGCUGGGGAAUGUUGGACCAUAUACUCGUGUCAUGAUAAUCUCACUUGAUCUAUGGGAUUUCUCAUAUUAGUACAGUAUACCAGGAUGUCUGAUCAGAACCAUAUUUGCAAGUUUCUUCAUGCCAUUUCUUUAUGCCUUAUGAGGCACUAAAUUUGACUGUGACUCUACCCGGGAGAAGAAGGAAUUAACAAGGGUUGGUUACUUCUUUUUCAAGCCACCUAAAAUUUUGUUUAGAUUUGGAGGCAAGUCUUAGGGAAGUAAAGAUUGGUUUCUAACUCCAUCUCGGUCAUUAUCUUAUUCUUGAGGGGGCAGAGUGUUGGAGCAAACUAUUAAUGACUCUGUUGCCCCACUGCAUGGAAGGGAUUUCAGCAAGGAGCAUUUGGAGCAUACUAUUAAUUACUCUGUUGUUCCUAUCCAAGAAUGUGAUUUCAGCAAGAAGCAUUCUUUCUAGUGAAGGAAAGUGUGGUUGACAUGCCAGUUUGAGGACUGGUUUGAGUGUUUUGAGUGCACUUAUCAAAUGAUGCAUGUCGCUCAAGUGAUUCCUACCUCAAGUGGUGGCCUGGUUCUGCCUGGCUGUGAAGAGAUCCUCAUUGAUACUUUUACUAUUUGAGAUUUUUUUUUCUCUGUGUUACCUAGUGGGGGCUGGGCUUGUGUUGUUGAGAUUUUUGUACAUGACCUCGUAAAAAA